GUCCGCCCCCCCGGAGGGGGGGCGGAAUACCCUGUGUCUACGCAAAGCAAGUACGCAUGCGCGCGUGACCGCAGCACAUACUCAUGUUGCUGCAAUUCGUCGAAGUGACAGGUUUCUUAACCUGGAAAGUCGUCAACUUUGACGCUAAAUAUCUCGUCUCGCGGAGGAGAGCGACAAUUUUGCGAGAGGAAAAAGUUU